rnacentral:rRNA from 1 species
AAUGAACGUUGGCGGCAUGGAUUAGGCAUGCAAGUCGGGGGAACCCCAGCAAUGGGGGAACCGGCGUAAGGGGCAGUAAGGCAUGGGUACCUACCUUGGGGUUCGGGAUAGCCAUCAGAGAUGGUGGGUAAUACCGGAUGACGUCGUGAGACCAAAGAUUUAUCGCCCUUAGAGGGGCCCAUGUGAUAUUAGCUAGUUGGUGGGGUAACGGCCCACCAAGGCGAAGAUGUCUAGCGGGUGUGAGAGCACGACCCGCGCCACUCGCACUGAGACACUGGCGAGACACCUACGGGUGGCUGCAGUCGAGGAUCUUCGGCAAUGAGCGCAAGCUUGACCGAGCGAUGCCGCGUGAGCGAUGAAGGCCUUCGGGUUGUAAAGCUCUUUAGUGGGGGAGAAAAGCCGCAAGGUGUGAUCUAUCCCAAAAAUAAGCACGGGCUAAGUUCGUGCCAGCCGCCGCCGUAA